GGCAGUGAUGGCUAAAUGGUUAAGGCUCUGAGUUACUGAUCGGAAGGUCGGGGUUCAAGCCCCAGCACGGCCA